rnacentral:rRNA from 1 species
UACGGGAGGCAGCAGUGGGGAAUAUUGCGCAAUGGGCGAAAGCCUGACGCAGCGACGCCGCGUGAGGGAUGAAGGUUUUCGGAUCGUAAACCUCUGUCAGAAGGGAAGAAAGCACAUAUUGCCAAUCAGGUAUGUGUUGACGGUACCUUCAAAGGAAGCACCGGCUAACUCCGUGCCAGCAGCCGCGGUAAU